UCUGCUAGCUACCAGAAGUUCUACUUGACCGUUUAUUUUAUUUGAAAUUUUUUUAUUAGUAGUAUUUUUAUUGCUAUUAGAUGAUAAAAUAUAAAUAGUACUUUAUGUAUGACUAAAUAUUUUUAAAUUUUUCGCAAAUUUUUCAAAUAAGACGGACGGUCAAACGUUGGGCACGGACAUCCACGACUAUACUUAUU
rfam:Oryza glumipatula chromosome 2, whole genome shotgun sequence.